AGUAGAAUGACUGAGAAUAAUAGGUGAAAGAUUGUAAAUCUUUUAAGGAGUUAAAACUCUUCUACUA
rnacentral:tRNA from 1 species